UACGGAGGGUGCAAGCGUUAUCCGGAAUCACUGGGCUUAAAGGGCUCGUAGGCGGGUCUGUAAGUCAGUGGUGAAAUCUCCGGGCUUAACCCGGAAACUGCCAUUGAUACUAUAGGUCUUGAAUUAUCUGGAGGUAAGCGGAAUAUGUCAUGUAGCGGUGAAAUGCUUAGAUAUGACAUAGAACACCAAUUGCGAAGGCAGCUUACUGCGGAUCGAUUGACACUGAGGCACGAAAGCGUGGGGAGCAAACAGG
rnacentral:rRNA from 1 species